UGGCUUAGGCGGUAAAGCGUCUGUCUGUAAUGCAGGAGACCCAGGUUCGAUCCCUGG
rnacentral:tRNA from 1 species